rnacentral:misc_RNA from 1 species
UGCAGCAUAUCGGUGUUGAACCCGCUGUUAACGCAAGUGCCGUGCCAAAGGCCCGGUGUCCGCGCCGGGGAGUACAGCGAGCGGCGAGUGCGCCGCCAUGACACUUUCCUUUUAACGCUACGAACGCAACGCUACAAGACGUCGUGUCGCCACAUUAUACACAAUUUUUGUAAAUCCAUUUAUUGAAUCCUAUAAUACAAGUUUUAACAAGAAUACCUGUGCCUCAUUGAAGAAUACUCAAGUUUCGAGCCGGAUCCUUGCCGCUUUGGGAAAUUAUUACGACAUUGCAAGACAAGGCGGAGGGUUAACGAGGAGUUCCACGGGCACAGGUUGACACGUGGCGCAUCACGAACAAGGCGAGACUCAUCUGGUGCUAGCUGGGACACAAUUGAGAAAAUCGCUGUGCUGUUCUGCUGUAUUCAACUAAGAACCCUUGAAGAGUUUCCAAGGAUGAAUCGAGAAAAAAAAAGCCAGGAAGGGUUUGCUGUGUGGUAUAAGUGAGUCCGUUCCAAUCAUUUAAAAUAGCGCUGUCAAUUAAUGCCUGGUACUGGCAAAAACCAUUUCCACUUUCUCAACAGAGAAAUAUCCACGUCCAAUAUUGCGUCAUCUAGUAUAACCUAGAUGAAUGUAAACGGUGCACAUGCACUGAUUUAAUUGUAAUAGUGUGCCGACUUAUUUCCAAGAACAUUUCAUUUCCAAAAAAUUUCACGUAGACAAUUUCCAUACAUCGCAAUCAUGUGCUAGUGAAUUUCCUUUUCAGAGGUCUGAUUUACUGUGUUGUGUCAGUUUGUGCCAAUGCAGUGCAAGCCAUUGUAAAUUUCUAACAGUUUUCAACAUUCCAGCGGAUCGGAGGGCGGUCAAGUCCACAGCGCGCGGCCUACGUGACUCGCGACGCACGCGUCAUACAUACCCACCCUCUCUGCUUCGCACAGUUUCUGCCGCUGCUUGCCUGCAAACACUUUCUUGCCUGCUAUAUCAAAAAUUUAAGUAUUGCACAACAUUAUUCUUUCACUAUACUCAAUUCAUCGCGGGUUAUGAUCAUUUGCUUUCAGCUGGGCUGUUUGAGACUGGUUUCAUUGCACUUAUUGACUUGUUUGCACAAUGGAUCUUAAAUCGUUAAAGAAAACCAGAGCUAGUCAUAAAGCAAAGCUUACCAUAUUUAAAUCAUACAUAGAAUCAUUUUUGCCUAAUAAACUUAUAAAUAAAGUACAAGUUCUCGAAACAACAGCUCGUCUAAACAAAAUAAUGGAGUUGUACAGUGAGUUUGAUGCUAUUCAAACGGACAUUGAAAGUCUUGUGGAAAUUCCAGGUGAAGAGCACAAGGAACGGGAGAUAUUUGAAACAAGCUACUUCGGCUGCGUGGCUGUUGCACAGGAGCUGUUGAGUGCUGCCUCUGCAGAGCAGGAGACCGGAUCGGUGACGGGUUCUAGUGACAGCGCUGGAAAGCCGGGUGGGCCAAACAUUAAAUUACCUACUAUCAAAUUGCCGAUCUUCUCUGGACGCUAUCAGGAGUGGCUAGAAUUCCACGACACUUACAAAUCACUUAUACACGACAACACAACUAUACCCAAAAUUCAUAAAUUUCAUUAUUUGCGAAAUUCGUUAAAGGAUAAUGCAGCUUUAAUUAUUAAAUCAUUAGAAUUCUCUGCGGAUAACUAUGAUGUUGCAUGGGAAUUACUAUGCAAUAGAUAUCACAACGAUCGAAUUUUAAUUAACAAUCACAUACAAGAAUUAUUUAAUAUACAACCAGUAGUUGAAGAAUCUUCAAGGGCCUUAAGAAACACAAUAGAUUCAGUCAAUAAAAACUUGAGGGCUUUAAAAACAUUAAAGUUACCUACUGAACAUUGGGACAUGAUUAUUAUACACAUGGUGACUAGUAAGUUAGAUCCAUCUACAAUACGUGAUUGGGAAAAGGAACGUAACAACAUUACACACCUACCCACUUUACAUGAUUUCAAUACAUUUCUAAAAAAUCGUGCUGACAUACUAGAAACCGUGGAAGAAUCAACUACACACAAAAAACAGCAACAGACACAGCGUAGACAAGGCGAUAUCACUCACAAUCGUCCUAAGACAUUCCUAGUUAGCCAAACACAAAGGCAAGCGCACUUUAAGUGUCCUGUGUGCAAGGGUCAUCACACUAUUUACCAAUGUACAAAGUUCAAAUCAAUGCCGAUUGAGACACGCAUUGAACAAGUCAAACAAUUAAAUUUAUGCACAAAUUGCUUGCGUUCAGGACAUGAUGAGCAGCGUUGUAAGCUUAGUUCCUGCAGGCUCUGUACGCAGCGUCAUAACACAAUGUUACACAAUAAUACUACUGUUCCUACGGCUUCAACUUCAUCAGAAGGUUGUGUAGUUUUACCCACAGUACAGGAACAAACACAAACACAAUCAAGCAGUGUCACACUCUCAUCAAUACACCACUGUCAAGUACUCUUAUCCACUGCAGUGAUUAAUAUACAAGAUUUGCAUGGUCACACAUACAAGGUUCGUGCGCUACUUGACAAUGGAAGCACAUCUAGUUUCAUCACAGAAACAUUGCGAGUUCAAUUAGGGAUACCCAGUUAUUCCACUUCUCUAUUAGUACAAGGAUUGAACAAUCAAUCCUCAGAAAUUACACAAAGAUGUGACGUCACUAUAUCGUCACUCACAACCAGUGGUUACACAACUGACAUCAAUUGUUUCGUUGUGCCACAUAUCACCCAGUUGAUACCUACAUCACAAAUUAAUUGCAAUUCCUUUACCAUUCCCCCUCGCAUCCACCUCGCGGAUCCAAAUUUCUCAACCCCGUCAGAGGUGCAGAUGUUGCUUGGAGCGGACAUCUUUUGGGAUGUCCUCCUAAAUAAUCACAUUUCCCUGGGUAAAAACAAGCCAACCUUGAUUGAAACAACAUUAGGGUGGCUCGUCACAGGCUCAGUACAAUCAAAUAAAUCUAACAAUAAUAUCAACCAAUCACAUACAGUCCAUUGCCACUUUUUAAACAAUAUCGAAGAGAAAUUAGACAAGUUUUUUGAAACAGAAUCAGUUCCCACUACUCAACAAGUCCAUACUAAGGGUGAGAGUGAGUGUGAACAAAUAUUUAAAACAACUACGAAGCGCCACCCAGAUGGCAAAUUCAUUGUCACAAUACCAUUCAAGGAAUCACCUGAAUCUUUAGGCGACUCCAAGCAGCAAGCUUUAAUACGGUUUCAAGCUUUGGAACGUAAAUUCAAACGCAAUCCAGAGUUCAAAGAAAAAUACACACAAUUUCUUGAUGAAUAUUUAGCUCUAGGUCACAUGUCAGAAAACACAACUCCACAUAGCGAUAGCAUUUCAUACUUCAUGCCACACCACGGUGUGCUGCGGGAGGAUAGUUCCACCACAAAAUUACGCACCGUCUUUGACUGUUCAGCCGUGACAAGCACGGGCAAGUCAUUGAACGACAUUCAGCAUAUUGGGCCAACUGUACAAGACGAUUUACUUAGCAUAUUAAUUCGGUUCCGACAGUAUAAGUUUGUAGUGACGUCAGACAUAGAGAAGAUGUUUCGGCAGGCCUUAAAUAAUACUCAAAGAUGUUUACAACAAAUAUUUUGGCGAUCAGAUUCUAGCCAGCCAAUCAAACAAUACAAGUUAAAUACUAUCACAUACGGAAUGGCGUCAGCCCCGUAUUUAGCAACUAGAUGCCUAGUUCAGUUGGGCCAAGAAUGCACUGAUAAAGAUGUACGUGAAUCAAUUUUACACGACUUCUACGUAGACGACUAUGUCGCGGGCCAUGAGGAUGAAAACACAUUAAUACAAAGAUGUAAAGGCGUCAUUCAAGUGUUAGAGGGCGCUCAUUUCCAUUUACGCAAAUGGCGGUCUAAUAAACCGUCUAUUGUUGAUGAAAUUACCUCUAGUGAAAUCACUAAACCAGAUGAUGUAGCAAACCUAAACAAGGUUGAUCGUGCAAAAACAUUAGGUUUACUCUGGACCUGUAAGAAAGACACAUUACUAUUCUCAGUAAGUAAUACUUCAAAAAAUAAACACAUAAACAAACGCACAAUUCUAUCCACUAUUGCCCAAGUGUUCGAUCCGCUUGGUUUAAUUAAUCCUUGCAUGUUACAGGCAAAACUCAUUCUACAAACACUGUGGGCUAAAAACAUCACAUGGGAUGACCAGUUACCCGCAGAAGUUGAGUCACAAUGGCAUGAAUUUAUUGAACACUUACCAGAAAUUACUAAAAUUGAAAUACCUCGUAGAGUGUUGUGUGAUUCAUACAUUAAGGUCGAAUUACACGCAUUUUCCGAUGCCUCCAUUAAGGCCUACUCUGCCUGUGUAUAUGUACGUACAGUCUCCGAUACUGGGAAUGUACAAGUUCAACUGCUACUUUCAAAGAGCAGGGUGGCGCCACUAAAACAUAAGCUUACUAUGCCUAGGUUAGAGCUUUGCGGCGCCCUUCUAGCUACGAGGUUAAUGGAUAAGGUAGUUAAUUCAUUACGUUUAAAAAUUGACUCAAAAUUUUAUUGGUGUGACUCAACUAUUGUGCUGGGCUGGCUUAAAUCAUGCAAAUUAAACUUAAAACAAUUUAUCUAUAAUAGAAUUCAUGAGAUUACUAAUAAUUCUGAUCCUAAUUCAUGGAAUUAUAUUCCCACAGAAAUGAACCCGGCGGACAUAGGUUCACGCGGGCUCAAUGCAUCACAAUUACAAUCUUCACUUUUGUGGUGGGGAGGUCCCCACUUCCUACACCAAACAAACAUGCAGUUGCCUACACAACCAAAAAAUCUAAACAUCACUAGUUUGCCAGAAAUUAAACAUCAAUGUCAUUUGUCCACAGAUGAAUCACACGGUCAUGACGUUAACUAUUUCAUGAAAUUUUCUGAUUUCGGUAAAUUACAAAGAACAGAGUGCUUAGUGCGAGUUUUCGUGAAUUUUUUUACGGACUCACAUGAGAGCGCGUAUACUAAGAUUUGUAUGGAACAAAAACAGCUCUACCUAGUGUCAAAAAUUGGAACCUGUUUUUGUUCCAUAGAAACAGUGUUGCCAACAGUUGUAGAAGCUUACCACCAGAGUCAACUUUUAAAACCACCAGAAAACCACUAACAAAAAUUUAUCCCACACUUAAAAUCACCAAAUUCACCACUAAAAAAAUAUUGUUUAUAUUUUAUUGUAACCUAAAACAAUUUAAUCAUCCAAAGAUGUAACUCGGCAACGAUAGAAAAUUAAAACAGACAAAGCAUUACAUCUGUUUAGCAAUUCAUCCGACCCGAUCCGAAUCCUUCACAAAUUAUAAUCGGCGUAGUAGUUUCACAAAUUGUUUAGUUACGCAUUUGACCAAUGAAUGUGUACUUAAUAUAAUUAUAUAGUAGUCGUUCACCUUUUUGUUUUGUAGAUGCUUUUUUGACAUUCCGUGAGACUUCAAAUCUCCAUAGUAACUCCUUAAAGUUGUACCACAAAACUUACAUUUCGCUACUUGACCCGCAGUACUUUCAACAUUUCGCCACUAAAUAGGGGACUUAAACCACCAGUAUUAGUGGAAAAUCCACUAAGUUGGCAACACUGCAUACAAAUCUUAGUAUACGCGCUCUCAUGUGAGUCCGUAAAAAAAUUCACGAAAACUCGCACUAAGCACUCUGUAGCUUACGCCAAAAGAUUCAUUUUUAAUUGUCAACAUACUAGCAAUAAAAUGACAGGUCCAUUGACCGUCAAAGAGCUCAAUUCAGCUUUACAAGUAUUAUGCAAGCAAGUACAACGUGAUUCAUAUUGCAAACAAUACUUACAAUUGCUUCAGAAACGCCCAUUGUCUCCUAAAGACAAACUCUUAAAAUUUAAUCCAUUUAUUGAUCAGGCAGAUGUUAUAAGAGUAGGAGGCAGAUUAUCAAACUCACACUACGACUAUAACACAAAGCACCCUAUCUUACUUGACGCAUCACAUCACGUAACUAAAAUAUUAGUUGCACACUAUCACAAAAUACUAUUACAUGCUGGACCACAGCUGUUGUUAUCAACAUUACGUCAUAAAUACUGGAUAGUUAAUGGUCGCAAUCUUUGUAGAAAAACAACUCGAGAUUGCAUAUCUUGCCUUAGAUUUGCAGGGAAAACUUACCAACCUAUCAUGGGCAAUCUACCUAUACAAAGAUUGCAAGCAGACUAUCCCUUCAGUAAUACAGCUGUCGAUUAUGCUGGUCCCAUCAUGAUAGCGAACAGAAAGGGUCGUGGCUGUCAGUUAAAGAAAGCAUACAUAGCUGUUUUUGUUUGUCUAGCAGUGAGAGCAGUGCACAUAGAACUCGUAACCGAUUUGAGUUCUGAAGGCUUUCAUCAUCAUCAUCAUCAUCAGCCUAUCGCAGUCCACUGCUGGACAUAGGCCUCUCCAAGUGCACGCCACUGAGAUCGAUAUUGAAGGCUUUAUUGCAGCCUUAAAUCGGUUUGUUGCUCGCAGAGAAUUGCAGAUCCGAAAUAAAUGGCGCACAGAUAAGGGACAACCGCAGCCAGGAGAUAUGGUCCUCAUCAAGGACGACCGCCUGCCUCCCAACAGAUGGCUGCUGGGCCGUAUCACCACCGUCUACCCUGGC